AGAGUUUGAUUCUGGCUCAGAACGAACGCUGGCGGCGUGGAUAAGACAUGCAAGUCGAACGGGAGAAUUGCUAGCUUGCUAAUAAUUCUCUAGUGGCGCACGGGUGAGUAACACGUGAGUAACCUGCCUCUUAGUGGGGGAUAGCCCUGGGAAACCGGGAUUAAUACCGCAUACGAUUGAAAGAUCAAAGCAGCAAUGCGCUAGGAGAUGGGCUCGCGGCCUAUUAGUUAGUUGGUGAGGUAACGGCUCACCAAGGCGAUGACGGGUAGCCGGUCUGAGAGGAUGUCCGGCCACACUGGAACUGAGACACGGUCCAGACACCUACGGGUGGCAGCAGUCGAGAAUCAUUCACAAUGGGGGCAACCCUGAUGGUGCGACGCCGCGUGGGGGAAUGAAGGUCUUCGGAUUGUAAACCCCUGUCAUGUGGGAGCAAAUUAAAAAGAUAGUACCACAAGAGGAAGAGACGGCUAACUCUGUGCCAGCAGCCGCGGUAAUACAGAGGUCUCAAGCGUUGUUCGGAAUCACUGGGCGUAAAGCGUGCGUAGGCUGUUUCGUAAGUCGUGUGUGAAAGGCAGGGGCUCAACCCCUGGAUUGCACAUGAUACUGCGAGACUAGAGUAAUGGAGGGGGAACCGGAAUUCUCGGUGUAGCAGUGAAAUGCGUAGAUAUCGAGAGGAACACUCGUGGCGAAGGCGGGUUCCUGGACAUUAACUGACGCUGAGGCACGAAGGCCAGGGGAGCGAAAGGGAUUAGAUACCCCUGUAGUCCUGGCAGUAAACGGUGCACGCUUGGUGUGCGGGGAAUCGACCCCCUGCGUGCCGGAGCUAACGCGUUAAGCGUGCCGCCUGGGGAGUACGGUCGCAAGAUUAAAACUCAAAGAAAUUGACGGGGACCCGCACAAGCGGUGGAGUAUGUGGUUUAAUUCGAUGCAACGCGAAGAACCUUACCUGGGCUUGACAUGUAAUGAACAACAUGUGAAAGCAUGCGACUCUUCGGAGGCGUUACACAGGUGCUGCAUGGCCGUCGUCAGCUCGUGUCGUGAGAUGUUUGGUUAAGUCCAGCAACGAGCGCAACCCCUGUUGCCAGUUACCAUCGAGUAAUGUCGGGGACUCUGGCGAGACUGCCCAGAUCAACUGGGAGGAAGGUGGGGACGACGUCAGGUCAGUAUGGCCCUUAUGCCCAGGGCUGCACACGUACUACAAUGCCCAGUACAGAGGGGGCCGAAGCCGCGAGGCGGAGGAAAUCCUGAAAACUGGGCCCAGUUCGGACUGUAGGCUGCAACCCGCCUACACGAAGCCGGAAUCGCUAGUAAUGGCGCAUCAGCUACGGCGCCGUGAAUACGUUCCCGGGUCUUGUACACACCGCCCGUCACAUCAUGGAAGCCGGUCGCACCCGAAGUAUCUGAAGCCAACCGCAAGGAGGCAGGGUCCUAAGGUGAGACUGGUAACUGGGAUGAAGUCGUAACAAGGUAGCCGUAGGGGAACCUGCGGC
rnacentral:rRNA from 1 species